CAGGUUCUCAUGGAGCACAUUUGGAUUGUGGCCUUGCAAUGCUCCACCUUCUAUUAGCUCUGCCUGCAGUCACAUAAGAAUGGAAAUUGCUUCCUGAAAUUCACAGAAUGACAACCAAACCCUGGCUGAACCAAAACAAGAUUCACUAUCCUUUUAGGGCCAAAUACCUGGAAGCUGAAUGUGAAACAGCAAUCAAAUUGUGGAUUAAGGAUGAUCUAUUGCGGACAGACUUAACAUUCAAUAAAAGCACUACAGGUGUAGUCAGUGCAAUGGGACCCAGCCCAUUAUCUUGUAUACUGACAGAGCACCUCACUACAGUAAAAUGAGCCAUGGC
rnacentral:lncRNA from 1 species